CAGCCUCCUGAUGUGGGUGCUCUCAGAGCUCGGAGCAUUGAAGAGAAGGAAACAUUGAUGGGAAACCCAGGCAUGGAAUCCUUCCUUCAUUUAAGGAUGAUGUUAAAGACUUUGAGCCAUCCGUCCGGCACCAACCCCCACUGAUCCAGCAGGAGCUGGCUCCUGUGUCCCCUCUGCUGGGAUACCUACCCUUGGAGAACUGAUCCCCUACUAGGGGUAUAGAACACAGCUGUCGAAACAGAAAUUUAUCUUGGCAACUGCUGAUGGAUGGAUGGACGCACACAGGAUCCAGAGAUUCAGUGAAGGAAGAUUCCUGAGACCGAGGAAAGCAGAAACAGCGGGGCGAGCGGGACUUGUGGAAAUGGGUAGACCGCGAGAGGGGGAAUACAGGCAAGGAGAGUGGGAGAGGGAGAAGCAGGCUUCCCACGGAGCAGAGAGCCUGAUGCAGGGCUCCAUCCCGGGAUCCUGGGAUCACGACCCAAG